ensembl:lncRNA
AUUUGAGCUAAAAAAAUAUUUUUUCAAUAAACCACAAUAAGCUUAAGUCAGAAUAUCAGAUUAUAGAAAUCCAUAAGACAUAAUUAUGAAUGUAAUGGCUGAUAGAUAGUUGUUAACCAGUGCAUGUGAAACAUCACAUUACACCAAACCUUGGAAACAGGACAAACAAACGUCAUGAAACCAGAUGCACCUGGCGGCUGAUGACGUCACUAAUCAUACACUGAGGUCAGGUGUGCGAUGUGUCUGACAGUAAUGUUUGACUAUAAGAUGAGCAGUUGUGGUCAGAAUGCCAGUGAAUAUAAUAGACUGAGGGGUGUGUUCCUGUCGUUCAUAUUUUCAUGGAACGUUGUGAUUUCGGUCUGUGGUGAUGGGCUUCACUCUAUGAAUCUGAGACACAAGCAGGAGGGGGUUGAUAUUAGUGAAAUACACCAAAUCAAGCAGAUCAAACAUGUGCAGAGUGGACCAGCAGCACAAAGACAUAAUGUCCCUCAGCCAGAGGCAACGGGAAGGUGGAGCGGUGUCCUUCUGUUGGAGGAAGAUAAGUCAGGCAGCUAAUACAGAGGCAAAGACAACUGCUCCUUCCCCUACGUCUGAACAGAUGUGCUUCAUUUGGAGCCGGGCCAAAGGCGGCGCACAGCGGCCUCUCUGCGCCGGAUGCGACUGCAAACACGCGUCCGAUAAGGCCCAGGAAAACAACGGUCCGGCGCUCGGCUGAACCGAGGCGGAACAAGUGCUUGUAAAUGAUUGAGGCACGGACACACACACACGAGGGGCGCGCCGCUGGGAACGCCGCCGCUCCGGUUCAGCGGAUAGAAAUAGAUGUGCAACGCUGACCUGCACCAGUUCACGGCCGGCGCACAGGCGGCCUCCACCACCGAGGCACUGGAUGCAGAUGCACAACGGCCAACAGAUACACACAAUAACAUCUGUGGUCAAUUUGGGGAUUUGGUAGUUUCUGAUUUUGGGCCACGGGGUCAAAAAAACAACUUCAUGUCUUUUCUGAAUUUCAAUUGAAUGACUAUAUGAUAUUCGGCUUGUAAGUAUUUUUAAGGAGGCACUGCUACAUUCAACGCAGUUGCAUGCAAAUGGUGAUUACUGCAGUAUGUGUGGGUGUUAUAUUGUGUUUUCAAACGGAGACGGGUCAAAGGUUCUGUCUCGUCCGCUGAGUUUUGUAGGUGAUGAUUGAUGAUGCACGUGAUUCAGAUCAGAGCAGUGAAGAGCUGUUGCCAGAAAGCUGAACCUGUUACUUGUAUUUCUUUUAGAAAAAAAUCUGAUGCUGUUUUAUAUAUUUUUUUUUUAAACUACAGUCCAAAAAUACCAAAACAAGGUCUCUUGUCUUCUGUGCUGUCACUGCACUCUGUGAAGUCUGGCACUCAGCUGCUAGCUUGUUUGCGCUCGCUGAAGACAUAAAUGUUUGAAAUGAAUCAAAAAAUAUUUUAAUUUAUUUAAAAAUUAAUCAAUAAUUAACCAAACAGAUGGGCACUGUAGUUUUUAGCAUAUGUUAUCUAACUAGGAAUAACCAGAGCUUUGUUGGGGGCUGUUUGCAUUCGCGUGU